AAUCUGGAUCGUGACUAAAACACCACACGAGUACAUACGAGUAACAUACGAGUAACACACAAGUACAUACGAGUACAUACGAGUAACACACGAGUACAUACGAGUAACAUACGAGUACAUACGAGUAACACACGAGUACAUACGAGUAACAUACGAGUAAAAUACAAGUACAUACGAGUACAUACGAGUAGAAUACGAGUACAUACGAGUAAAAUACGACUAGUAAACUUGUUUUUAGUGUUUGUAGAUUGAAUACAGG
rnacentral:lncRNA from 1 species